CUCGUAAGUGGCUUUGUAAGUCAGGUGUGAAAGCCCACGGCUCAACCGUGGAAUUGCACUUGAUACUGCAAGGCUAGAGUACAGGAGAGGGAAGUGGAAUUUCUGGUGUAGGAGUGAAAUCCGUAGAGAUCAGAAGGAACACCCGUGGCGAAGGCGACUUCCUGGACUGUUACUGACACUGAGGAGCGAAAGCGUGGGGAGCAAACA
rnacentral:rRNA from 1 species